rnacentral:lncRNA from 1 species
AGACACCAGAUCUUACUCUCUCUUUAUUAGUUCUGACAAAGGGAAAAGUCCAUGUGAGAACACCACAGCAAGAAGUCAACAAGCCACAAGCUAGGAAGAGUUCCCUGACCAGGAACAGAAUCAGCGGCAUCUUGAUUGGGAUGCCUAUCCUUCAGAACAUUUGUCAAAUCUACGCAGUUGUGGACAAGAUUCCUUCUGAUAAUCCUGCUACUCAGACUAUUGAACAGUCUCCUGAAGGAGCUGAAAUUUAUAAAUUAUUCAUUGGCGCUUGA